GACGAACGCUGGCGGCGUGCUUAACACAUGCAAGUCGAACGAUGAACCCGGAGCUUGCUCUGGGGGAUUAGUGGCGAACGGGUGAGUAACACGUGAGUAACCUGCCCUGGACUCUGGUAUAAGCGUUGGAAACGACGUCUAAUACCGGAUAGGACCUUGGAUCGCAUGAUCUGGGGGGGAAAUUUUUUUCGGUCUGGGAUGGACUCGCGGCCUAUCAGCUUGUUGGUGAGGUAAUGGCUCACCAAGGCGUCGACGGGUAGCCGGCCUGAGAGGGUGACCGGCCACACUGGGACUGAGACACGGCGCAGACUGCUACGGGAGGCAGCAGUGGGGAAUAUUGCACAAUGGGCGAAAGCGUGAUGCAGCAACGCCGCGUGCGGGAUGACGGCCUUCGUGUUGUAAACCGCUUUUAGUAGGGAAGAAGGGCUUCGGCUUGACGGUACCUGCAGAAAAAGGACCGGCUAACUACGUG
rnacentral:rRNA from 1 species